rnacentral:rRNA from 1 species
CAGUCGCCGCGGGAAUACGGAGGGUGCAAGCGUUAAUCGGAAUUACUGGGCGUAAAGCGCACGCAGGCGGUCUGUCAAGUCAGAUGUGAAAUCCCCGGGCUUAACCUGGGAACUGCAUUUGAAACUGGCAGACUGGAGUCUUGUAGAGGGGGGUAGAAUUCCAGGUGUAGCGGUGAAAUGCGUAGAGAUCUGGAGGAAUACCGGUGGCGAAGGCGGCCCCCUGGACAAAGACUGACGCUCAGGUGCGAAAGCGUGGGGAGCAAACAGGAUUAGAUACCCCGGUAGUCCCUGUCUCUUAUAC